CAAUAGAUACCCAGGUAGUCCACGCCGUAAACGAUGAGUGCUAAGUGUUAGAGGGUUUCCGCCCUUUAGUGCUGCAGCAAACGCAUUAAGCACUCCGCCUGGGGAGUACGGUCGCAAGACUGAAACUCAAAGGAAUUGACGGGGGCCCGCACAAGCGGUGGAGCAUGUGGUUUAAUUCGAAGCAACGCGAAGAACCUUACCAGGUCUUGACAUCCUUUGACAACCCUAGAGAUAGGGCUUCCCCUUCGGGGGCAGAGUGACAGGUGGUGCAUGGUUGUCGUCAGCUCGUGUCGUGAGAUGUUGGGUUAAGUCCCGCAACGAGCGCAACCCUUGAUCUUAGUUGCCAGCAUUCAGUUGGGCACUCUAAGGUGACUGCCGGUGACAAACCGGAGGAAGGUGGGGAUGACGUCAAAUCAUCAUGCCCCUUAUGACCUGGGCUACACACGUGCUACAAUGGGCAGAACAAAGGGCAGCGAAGCCGCGAGGCUAAGCCAAUCCCACAAAUCUGUUCUCAGUUCGGAUCGC
rnacentral:rRNA from 1 species